rnacentral:rRNA from 1 species
UACAGAGGGGGCGAGCGUUGUUCGGAAUUACUGGGCGUAAAGGGCGCAUAGGCGGCCCGCUAAGUCGAACGUGAAAUCCCCAGGCUCAACCUGGGAACUGCGUCCGAUACUGGCAGGCUUGAAUCCGGGAGAGGGAUGUGGAAUUCCAGGUGUAGCGGUGAAAUGCGUAGAUAUCUGGAGGAACACCGGUGGCGAAGGCGGCAUCCUGGACCGGUAUUGACGCUGAGGCGCGAAAGCUAGGGGAGCAAACGGG